UACGUAGGGGCCGAGCGUUGUCCGGAGUUAUUGGGCGUAAAGCGCGCGCAGGCGGCCUCGCGCGCCCGACGUGAAAGCCCCCGGCUUAACCGGGGAGAGUCGUUAGGGACGGCGGGGCUUGAGGGCGGGAGAGGUCGGUGGAAUUCCCGGUGUAGUGGUGAAAUGCGUAGAGAUCGGGAGGAACACCUGUGGCGAAGGCGGCCGACUGGGCCGACCCUGACGCUGAGGCGCGAAGGCGUGGGGAGCGAACGGG
rnacentral:rRNA from 1 species